rnacentral:piRNA from 1 species
GGUAGAACUGGGAAAUUGAGGAGUU